AACCAGGACUUCGGUCCUGGGGACAGCGGCGAACGGGUGAGUAACACGUGGAUAACCUGCCCUCGGCACCGGGAUAGCCCGGGGAAACUCGGAUUAAUACCGGAUGGCCCUUCCGGCUCACGAGCCGGUCGGAAAAGGUAGCUUCGGCCUCCGGCCGAGGAGGGGUCCGCGGCGGAUUAGCUUGUUGGUGGGGUAACGGCCUACCAAGGCUCCGAUCCGUAGCUGGUCUGAGAGGACGAUCGGCCACAUUGGGACUGAGACACGGCCCAAACUCCUACGGGAGGCAGCAGUGGGGAAUAUUGGACAAUGGGCGCAAGCCUGAUCCAGCCAUGCCGCGUGAGUGAUGAAGGCCUUAGGGUUGUAAAGCUCUUUCACCGGAGAAGAUAAUGACGGUAUCCGGAGAAGAAGCCCCGGCUAACUUCGUGCCAGCAGCCGCAGUAACAC
rnacentral:rRNA from 1 species